rnacentral:rRNA from 1 species
AGAGUUUGAUCAUGGCUCAGAGUGAACGCUGGCGGCAGGCCUAACACAUGCAAGUCGAACGGCAGCACAGAGGAGCUUGCUCCUUGGGUGGCGAGUGGCGGACGGGUGAGGAAUGCAUCGGAAUCUGCCUAUUUGUGGGGGAUAACGUAGGGAAACUUACGCUAAUACCGCAUACGUCCUACGGGAGAAAGUGGGGGACCGCAAGGCCUCACGCAGAUAGAUGAGCCGAUGCCGGAUUAGCUAGUUGGCGGGGUAAAGGCCCACCAAGGCGACGAUCCGUAGCUGGUCUGAGAGGAUGAUCAGCCACACUGGAACUGAGACACGGUCCAGACUCCUACGGGAGGCAGCAGUGGGGAAUAUUGGACAAUGGGCGCAAGCCUGAUCCAGCCAUGCCGCGUGUGUGAAGAAGGCCUUCGGGUUGUAAAGCACUUUUGUCCGGAAAGAAAAGCGCUCGAUUAAUACUCGGGUGUUAUGACGGUACCGGAAGAAUAAGCACCGGCUAACUUCGUGCCAGCAGCCGCGGUAAUACGAAGGGUGCAAGCGUUACUCGGAAUUACUGGGCGUAAAGCGUGCGUAGGUGGUUUGUUAAGUCUGAUGUGAAAGCCCUGGGCUCAACCUGGGAACUGCAUUGGAAACUGGCUUACUAGAGUGCGGUAGAGGGGUGUGGAAUUCCCGGUGUAGCAGUGAAAUGCGUAGAUAUCGGGAGGAACAUCUGUGGCGAAAGCGACACCCUGUACCAGCACUGACACUGAGGCACGAAAGCGUGGGGAGCAAACAGGAUUAGAUACCCUGGUAGUCCACGCCCUAAACGAUGCGAACUGGAUGUUGGGGGCAACUUGGCCCUCAGUAUCGAAGCUAACGCGUUAAGUUCGCCGCCUGGGAAGUACGGUCGCAAGACUGAAACUCAAAGGAAUUGACGGGGGCCCGCACAAGCCGGUGGGAGUAUUGUGGUUUAAUUCGA